rnacentral:tRNA from 1 species
GGGGUGAUAGCAAUAGGCAGCUAACAAGGCUCAUAACCUUGAGGUUGAGGGUUCGAGUCCCUCCCCCGUAA